GCGCGCUCGCUCGCGCUCUCCUGCCUCCGGCUGCGCGGGGCGGGGCGGGGACGCCGUGUCGAUGUGUCGCCUUCUUCUCCCCCGCACCCUCCGCUGAUGUCACGCGCGCAAGCCCGGGCGCGCCUGGCGCGCGUGGUGGGAAAAGGGGGCGGUGCCGGCGGCGCCCUCAGUGGCACCAUGUAGGGAAUGGAAUGCGGGGGCGGGGCCGCCGCGGCCUCAACCCGGUCACCUCUGCUGGGAAAGCCAGGAGGGGGGAGCGAGCGCAGGGAAAUACGGUAACGGCACAGGAGCGGCAGCGGCCGCCCGGGGAAGACGGGGGCUGGCCCGCCUCCAGCCGCGCUGCCGGCGCUGGAGCUGCGGCGAGACGGCGGAGACGCGGCGAACAGGUCUUAGCCGCCUGCUGCAGUAAAAAUAACACCCUAAUACCACUGGAAGAAUUCUUCAUGUCAUAAUAAACAAGCUGUACACUAAGAAUUGAGAAAUAAGAAGAGUGAGAGGUAUGCCAAUGAGAAAUAAAAUAUCUAUGACAAGUAAAAGUAGCCUAUGAGUCAAUUAUUUCAACUUAGUAAUUUUUUUUACCUUUUCAGAUCUGGGGAAAAGAAUAAUCAAAAAUUGACUUAAGAAAUCCUAGAGAAAAGCAGAGGAAAAAGCCCAUAAAUGCACCUGUUCCAUUCAUCUACCACUCAGCGGAAAUAGCUGCUUCCCAUUAACUGGGCUAGGGGGUAAAUGAAGCAUCUUUGUUCUUGAGGUUAUGCCACAAGCAUCGGGUACACUUCUCCUGGGCUGCUCCUGCGCUGAUGUACCUGUACAACAGCAGUAGCACUAACAGCUUACAAGUUAUAAUCUAAGCCUGAAGUUCCACUGUUCUGCCAGUGUUGCCCUUUGCUUUCAGAGAGUUAAAUGAACUCAACAGGGAAGGAAUGUUAAUCCCAGUGAAGAAAUUAAGGUCACUUCUUUCUGAAAGGAACAUAAUCAAUGUAACUACACAUUUCUUAUUGAGAGUUACACCAGCUGUUGCAAGUAAUGCUGAACAAAAAUAUUUCCCUGGUGACUUUUGCCUGCACUUUCAUCUGUGGCUAACUUCACUGGUUUUGUUUAAGUCAGUUUCAUCUUUUGUGUGCCUUUGUCACAUAAAGACAUAUGUUUCUAUAAAUAAGCUUCACAAGUCAUUUAGGAGAUGUGUAGGAAAAUGUAGAACUACUUUUAACUAACUUUUAUAAGUUGGCUAGAUUUUAAGCUGACUCUGCCCUUUUAACAGAUGCUCAGAAAAGUGACUGUUCUUUAUUGCCUCAACAUACCAUUUUGGGAUAACACAUCAGCCAGUCUGAUGGAAUACUUUAUGCAGAAUUACUACUUCCUCUGAGUCAGUGCUGUAAAUGACAAUUACGUCUGCAAAGAACACAGCAUCAUUCAUCUCCCUUGCUGCCCUCAUGACUAGAAGUGAUACACCUAGGGAAGGGUAUGUUACUCCUAACAAUGAUAUGGAUCUAUAGAAAUGAUGGAAUUGUCACUAGUAAAACACAAAAGACCAAAACAUUGAAUAUUUGUUCUGUUUGGCGCAUGUGGGUAAAAACUAAUUUUUUAUUACCUCACAAAGUGAGGAAAUGCAUCCUAUUCCAGCAGUAACUCAGGAGUCUGUUAGCCAUCAAAGUUAGGUUUAAAGAACCGCGUUCAGAUAACUUUGAUUAUCUAUUUUUAAACUGACUGAGCAGCUCUCUGAUUUGUUAUUUUCUAUAAAUUAGAAACAGAAAGGCAAGCCAGAGGACUUGACGUAGCUAGAGUAGUCACAGUAAAAAGGCUAAGUAGGACGACCCAGAUGUUUAUUCACCAUCAGUGUAACACCUAUCUAGGCAAAAUGAUAGGUAACUCAUACAAGUCUUAUCAGUAAGCUAUAAAAGGAAAUCAGUAGAACUAAUGUCAGUCCAUAGGGGUGUAUGAAAAAUAGAUAUAUUGACCCCAGUUUUAUUAAAUGACACACUUGAUAAAAAUAACAGUGUUUAUGUAAUAGUGUUUAUGUAAUACUUAGACUUUUUGCAGACAUUUUGACUUAUUGUUGCAUGACACUUUUUAUGUAUCAUGCUAGUUUAAUCAAUAUGGCCUGUUAAUUAAUUGAAUAUUGGUUAACUGACAACUCAAAAUGAAGCAGUAGAUGGAGAAUUCUAACUAGCAAGUAUAUUCAUAUGGGGAUUAUUUUAGGAGUUGCUUUUAGCCAUGUGUUAUUUAAUGCUUGUAUAAAUUAUAUCAAAGAUUUACAGAGUUAUUAAUGAUAGCUCUAGAUGAUCCAAAAGAUUGGGGAUGUAAUAAACAACAAAGAUAAGUCA
rnacentral:lncRNA from 1 species